rnacentral:tRNA from 1 species
GGACAUAUCGUAUAGUGGUUUAUUACGGAGGGCCGUUAACCCUUUUACCCAGGUUCGAAUCCUGGUGUGUCCGCCA